UACGUAGGCAGCAAGCGUUGUUCGGAGUUACUGGGCGUAAAGGGUGUGUAGGCGGUUAUUUAAGUUUGGUGUGAAAUCUCCCGGCUCAACCGGGAGGGUGCGCCGAAUACUGAAUGACUUGGAGUGCGGGAGAGGAAAGUGGAAUUCCUGGUGUAGCGGUGAAAUGCGUAGAUAUCAGGAGGAACACCGGUGGUGUAGACGGCUUUCUGGACCGUAACUGACGCUGAGACACGAAAGCGUGGGUAGCAGACAGG
rnacentral:rRNA from 1 species